UACAGAGGUCCCAAGCGUUGUUCGGAUUCACUGGGCGUAAAGGGUGCGUAGGCGGUCAUUUAAGUCUGACGUGAAAUCUCCGGGCCUAACCCGGAAACUGCGUUGGAAACUAUCUGACUAGAGGAAUGGAGGGGAGACUGGAAUACUUGGUGUAGCAGUGAAAUGCGUAGAUAUCAAGUGGAACACCAGUGGCGAAGGCGAGUCUCUGGACAUUUCCUGACGCUGAGGCACGAAAGCGUGGGGAGCAAACAGG
rnacentral:rRNA from 1 species